rnacentral:lncRNA from 1 species
AGUCUCUGGCCACAUCCUGCCCUAACACUUCCUACAGAGCACGUCUAGAGGCUAUCUUCAUGACAAGGAUUGUUCUGAGGCAUCAUCAUCAGGUCUUCUCAGAUCAUUUUGGACCAUGUGCCUUUCUCUGGACAUUCAUGUUCCCAGGAACUGUGGAGGUGCCAUACACAAAGCAAAUCGUCCAGGUCCCCUGACAUCUGGCUCAGUCACGUCUUUGAUGCUGGCCUCACCUUGGAGAACUUCAUGCCGCUCACGUUGAUAGUGCAAAGAUCUGAUGGCUUCCUGGCAGAGUGGUGCUUCAGCUGGAACACAGGACACAAGAGUUGGUCCCCGCGGUCCCAACAGAAUGGAAAAAGACCGGUCCAAAAUGUGUCCAAGAACGUCUGCCUGGCUAUCCCUCCGAGAUAUUUUCUUCAACCCAGUAUCGAAAGAAACCUUCUUCUGGCUUUCCUGACCUUCGGUGGAUGCCUUAGCUGCACCUUUCUUCAUGCUGCCUUUCCGGACCACUAUCCAGUGUCCCCGGCCUGUGGGGAAGAUUGGAACAGUGAGUAAGGCCAAACGCCUCUGAAAACAAGGAUAUGAAUACAGAAUAUUUGUCUCUAAUGCGUAAUUUAUCUCUAAUUUAUCUCCUGAGUACUACACUACCAAGCACUCACUACUGCUGAAGUGUCUGUGCACAUGUCUCAUUCGAGAGCCUCUAAACUCAGUGAGGCGUAUACUAUGGAUGAACUGGCUUAUGAUAAAAGAGGGGGAUGGCUGCACAAUUCCUUCCUCAUCUCCCAAGGCUACUGUUCGGUUAAGAGACAGGAUCAGAUUCUUCCUGUUAUGUGAUGUCUUCCCUGAUCCCUGUCAGCACGAAGGAUUAAUCUCUCAAUGCUAGGCUCGGUGACCUCAAUUUUAUACAUCAGCAAAAAGACUAAUAUGACUCCUAGGGAUGUAACUCUGUUGGCCAAGCGUUUGCCUAGCAUACACGGAAACCUCAGUUUCCCCCGCCCCCUCACUACAUAAAACUUGUUAUAGUGGAGCACACCUGUAAUCUCAGUAUUCAGAAAGUGGAACUAGGAGGACCCAAGGUCACCCUUGGCUACACAGCAAGUUUAAGGCCAGCCUGGGUUACAUGGAACCCUAUCUUAAAAAUUG